AGUCGAACGAACUCUGGUAUUGAUUGGUGCUUGCAUCAUGAUUUACAUUUGAGUGAGUGGCGAACUGGUGAGUAACACGUGGGAAACCUGCCCAGAAGCGGGGGAUAACACCUGGAAACAGAUGCUAAUACCGCAUAACAACUUGGACCGCAUGGUCCGAGUUUGAAAGAUGGCUUCGGCUAUCACUUUUGGAUGGUCCCGCGGCGUAUUAGCUAGAUGGUGAGGUAACGGCUCACCAUGGCAAUGAUACGUAGCCGACCUGAGAGGGUAAUCGGCCACAUUGGGACUGAGACACGGCCCAAACUCCUACGGGAGGCAGCAGUAGGGAAUCUUCCACAAUGGACGAAAGUCUGAUGGAGCAACGCCGCGUGAGUGAAGAAGGGUUUCGGCUCGUAAAACUCUGUUGUUAAAGAAGAACAUAUCUGAGAGUAACUGUUCAGGUAUUGACGGUAUUUAACCAGAAAGCCACGGCUAACUACGUGCCAGCAGCCGCGGUAAUACGUAGGUGGCAAGCGUUGUCCGGAUUUAUUGGGCGUAAAGCGAGCGCAGGCGGUUUUUUAAGUCUGAUGUGAAAGCCUUCGGCUCAACCGAAGAAGUGCAUCGGAAACUGGGAAACUUGAGUGCAGAAGAGGACAGUGGAACUCCAUGUGUAGCGGUGAAAUGCGUAGAUAUAUGGAAGAACACCAGUGGCGAAGGCGGCUGUCUGGUCUGUAACUGACGCUGAGGCUCGAAAGUAUGGGUAGCAAACAGGAUUAGAUACCCUGGUAGUCCAUACCGUAAACGAUGAAUGCUAAGUGUUGGAGGGUUUCCGCCCUUCAGUGCUGCAGCUAACGCAUUAAGCAUUCCGCCUGGGGAGUACGGCCGCAAGGCUGAAACUCAAAGGAAUUGACGGGGGCCCGCACAAGCGGUGGAGCAUGUGGUUUAAUUCGAAGCUACGCGAAGAACCUUACCAGGUCUUGACAUACUAUGCAAAUCUAAGAGAUUAGACGUUCCCUUCGGGGACAUGGAUACAGGUGGUGCAUGGUUGUCGUCAGCUCGUGUCGUGAGAUGUUGGGUUAAGUCCCGCAACGAGCGCAACCCUUAUUAUCAGUUGCCAGCAUUAAGUUGGGCACUCUGGUGAGACUGCCGGUGACAAACCGGAGGAAGGUGGGGAUGACGUCAAAUCAUCAUGCCCCUUAUGACCUGGGCUACACACGUGCUACAAUGGAUGGUACAACGAGUUGCGAACUCGCGAGAGUAAGCUAAUCUCUUAAAGCCAUUCUCAGUUCGGAUUGUAGGCUGCAACUCGCCUACAUGAAGUCGGAAUCGCUAGUAAUCGCGGAUCAGCAUGCCGCGGUGAAUACGUUCCCGGGCCUUGUACACACCGCCCGUCACACCAUGAGAGUUUGUAACACCCAAAGUCGGUGGGGUAACCUUUUAGGAACCAGCCGCCUAAGG
rnacentral:rRNA from 2 species